AGCGAACGCUGGCGGCAGGCCUAACACAUGCAAGUCGAACGAACCUUUCGGGGUUAGUGGCGGACGGGUGAGUAACACGUGGGAACGUGCCUUUAGGUUCGGAAUAACUCAGGGAAACUUGUGCUAAUACCGAAUGUGCCCUUCGGGGGAAAGAUUAAUCGCCUUUAGAGCGGCCCGCGUCUGAUUAGCUAGUUGGUUGAGGUAAUGGCUCACCAAGGCGACGAUCAGUAGCUGGUCUGAGAGGAUGAUCAGCCACAUUGGGACUGAGACACGGCCCAAACUCCUACGGGAGGCAGCAGUGGGGGAUCUUGCGCAAUGGGCGAAAGCCUGACGCAGCCAUGCCGCGUGAAUGAUGAAGGUCUUAGGAUUGUAAAAUUCUUUCAACGGGGCCGAUAAUGACGGUACCCGGAGAAGAAGCCCCGGCUAACUUCGUG
rnacentral:rRNA from 1 species